CCCUAAAAUCCACGUUGUUGACACCUCUUCCCCCUCCCGAUCUUUGUCCAUCAUCGCCCGCUGGAUCACCGAUCGUCGGCGUCGAUCCGUCCCUCUCCGACCAUGAGCGAGAAGUUGACUCUCUCCCAGCCUCCUCGCACUGUCGUUCGACGCCGUGUGACUUGAUUCCAGUCGACUUCCUCUUCUGAUCUCGUUGAUGUCGUCGCCCCUUUCCUGAUCGUCGGCCGCCGACGACCACAAGGGUCGGAUUCCUCUAGCUCAGUUGCGACAGGAGCGGCAGCCAACCCUCCCGUGGCCUGUUCACGCCACUAUUAUCUGCCGCCUCGCCGAGUGACUACGCUGCUUGAUUGUUGCUUUCUCCUUUGCCUUGGCUCGUCAUCACCCUUCUCCGAUUUCCUGCAAGCUGGUGCCCUGGUGCUGUCGCUCCUUUCCUCUACCUUGGCUCAUCACGAUGGCACCACCGUGGCACACAGACUUCGUUCAGGAGGAGGCGUGGAUCUAGUCUAGGGGGAGAUCCAUUUCGGCAUAGCUGCUUCUAGGUUCUUCACCGAGCUAUUGCAGAUUCGAUUUGGGUUGAAGCCGCCUGGAGAUCCUAUCCGUCAGUCCUAUGUUACAUCGAGUGACUUCUUCCGUUCUUGCUUCCGUUCGCUUUAUUGGUUUUGGACUUAUCCAUGUAUAUGUAUCUUUGUAUGGAAUUUAGCUUUAUAUUUUCUUAUAUUUGGUUUGAUGUUAUCGUGUCAAGCCGGGUCAGCUCACAGUUAGUUAUUUUGUUCGUUUCAUAUUCGUUAUUUUGUAAUUUUCGUUGUGUAAUGUUUCAGCCGUGUAGGUUGUCUAUUAACUGUGUGGUUAUGUUUACUUUCAGCCGUGUGUGCUGCUUAUAAACUGUGUAAUUGUGUUUAUAUCCAGCCAUGUGGGCUGAUGUUGCUUGUGAGUAGCAAUGUGACAAUGUAUUUAUGCUUUA